UACUGAGGUUGCAAGCGUUGUUCGGAAUUACUGGGCGUAAAGGGCGCGUAGGCGGCCAUCUAAGUCCGACGUGAAAUCCCCCGGCUCAACCUGGGAACUGCGUCUGAUACUGGACGGCUUGAGUUUGGGAGAGGGAUGUAGAAUUCCAGGUGUAGCGGUGAAAUGCGUAGAUAUCUGGAGGAAUACCGGUGGCGAAGGCGGCAUCCUGGACCAAUACUGACGCUGAGGCGCGAAAGCUAGGGGAGCAAACGGG
rnacentral:rRNA from 1 species